GGUGAGAUGGCCGAGCGGUCUAAGGCGCCAGACUAAGGAGCAGGGGAACAUCCGUGGAUGUUCGCCUCGAAGUAGUUCAUCUGGUCCGAACAGGGCGUGAGUUCGAAUCUCACUCUCAUCA